rnacentral:rRNA from 1 species
UACGUAGGAUCCGAGCGUUAUCCGGAGUGACUGGGCGUAAAGAGUUGCGUAGGCGGCUUUGUAAGCAGAUAGUGAAAUCGAGUGGCUCAACCAUCUUCGGCUAUUAUCUGAACUGCAAAGCUCGAGAGUAGUAGAGGUACCUGGAAUUCCCUGUGUAGCGGUGAAAUGCGUAGAUAUAGGGAGGAACACCAAUGGCGUAGGCAGGGUACUAGACUAUUUCUGACGCUGAGGCACGAAAGCGUGGGGAGCGAACCGG